UACGUAGGGGGCAAGCGUUGUCCGGAUUCAUUGGGCGUAAAGAGCGUGUAGGCGGCCAGGUAGGUCGGUUGUGAAAACUGGGGGCUCAACCUUCAGAGGUCGACCGAAACCAUCUGGCUAGAGUCCGGGAGAGGAGAGUGGAAUUCCUGGUGUAGCGGUGAAAUGCGCAGAUAUCAGGAAGAACACCCGUGGCGAAAGCGGCUCUCUGGAACGGUACUGACGCUGAGACGCGAAAGCGUGGGGAGCGAACAGG
rnacentral:rRNA from 1 species